rnacentral:rRNA from 1 species
UACGUAGGGCGCGAGCGUUGUCCGGAUUUAUUGGGCGUAAAGAGCUCGUAGGCGGCUUGUCGCGUCGUCCGUGAAAACCUGCGGCUCAACUGCAGGCUGGCGGUCGAUACGGGCAGGCUGGAGUUCGGUAGGGGAGACUGGAAUUCCUGGUGUAGCGGUGAAAUGCGCAGAUAUCAGGAGGAACACCGGUGGCGAAGGCGGAUCUCUGGGCCGAUACUGACGCUGAGGAGCGAAAGCGUGGGGAGCGAACAGG